GUGGGGAAUCUUCCGCAAUGGACGAAAGUCUGAUGGAGCGACGCCGCGUGAGUGAAGAAGGCCUUCGGGUCGUAAAGCUCUGUCAUCAGGGACGAACGGCCGGUGGAGUGGAAAGCCACCGGAUUGACGGUACCUGAGAAGGAAGCCACGGCUAACUACGUGCCAGCAGCCGCGGUAAUACGUAGGUGGCAAGCGUUGUCCGGAAUUAUUGGGCGUAAAGCGCGCGCAGGUGGGAUCUUAAGUCCAUUUUUAAAGUUCGGAGCUCAACUCCGUGAUGGGAUGGAAACUGGGAUUCUUGAGUACCGGAGAGGAAAGCGGAAUUCCCCGUGUAGCGGUGAAAUGCGUAGAUAUGGGGAGGAACACCAGUGGCGAAGGCGGCUUUCUGGACGGUGUCUGACACUGAGGCGCGAAAGCCAGGGGAGCGAACGGGAUUAGAUACCCUUGUAGUCC
rnacentral:rRNA from 1 species